rfam:Drosophila ficusphila unplaced genomic scaffold scf7180000451508, whole genome shotgun sequence
UGCUUGCAUACUGCUUUGGCCAGGACCAAAACGGAUGUGAAGUG